GAUGUGGACAUCCCUUUAAAUCCCAUGAUCCAUCAUCAACAAUAGUGUUACGCAGCAACUCCCACUUUCGAAUUGAAUUCUGGUGCUCUCCAUCAGCCGUUCGCUGGAGAGAAAAGACAAAUAAUUUCAUAGCUCAAGAGCAUCAAACAGAUGAGCCCGCACACAGGGUCCGGUAGCAAUUGCGGCGAACAAAGUGUUUAGAGUGUUUAGCCUUCCCGUUGAGGGCAUGCGCCUUCCCUCUUUCUAGCUGCAUGAGUUAGUAUCGCUCAGGGCCGUCAGCACAGCUUUUAGAUGAACAUUUGGCUGUUCCCCUAGGUUGGCUUGCUAUUGUCGCGGCUGCUCCCUGUUUGCUUUGGAGCAGAGGGACUGGGACCUUAAAAGCCGAAAUUCUUUGCUUCAAGGUAUGAACCGAUUUCUUGCUCUCAUUUAAAAGGAGGAGAUGUUCUAGGGUGCCUCAUCUUUCUUUCCCUUGAGAUUUUCUUUCCUUUUAAACUCUUUGAGGCAGAAGAGCACUUUAGCCUCAGCCAACUGAAAAGAUGUUGCAAAUGCAUCUGGGGUUUGGCAUCCUCAUAUAAUGUCUUUUCUUGAAUGCGUGGGACGUGCCCUAGGGCGCUGCCCGCGCUCAGCACAGCGGCCAUUGCGGGGAAAAGAGGACCGCUGGAUGGCCGUCGUACGUAACCUCCACCUCUGGGUCUCUGCAGAAAGAAGAAACGGGUAAUUCUGUCCCAAGGCUUAGCCCUCGUGUCUAGGGACGAGCCCCGACCCGGACGGCAGGGCCAGCCACUCCACAGCUUACUGUUCUCUGACUCCCAACACUCCGGCCACUAUGCCUGGAAAGAACAUCUAAUCAAGACAAAGGGAAAGCCCCUGGAGUAAUUUGUUCAUCAGUAGGAAGCAAAGGAACUUCAAGUCCACUCUCCCCGCCUGAGUCGCGAACGAAGCGACUCUCCGCUCAGCCACUGGAGAAGUUUGUAACUCCAUGAGAGCCACAGAGGUCUAUGUCGAUAGCAGUUCACUCUGUCCUCUCCCACUAGCCAGGCCGCCCACCUGUUGCAGAGCACCCCAGAGAUUGUCAGAGAAGCCUCAGAACCGUCUUUCUCUGCUGCUGCAGCACUCCCAGAAGAUCCAGACUUUGGCUGCUGGCAAUGUGAUAAUAACAAAGCUCAGAGGACCCAAGGGAAAAGAGUCUCCAUUUCUCCUUGCAGAGCAGGACACCCCACUCCUGGUAGUGAGAGCUGCCAUAGGGUUUCAGGGUAAUAGAGAAAGCAGAGACUGGAGUCUUAACCAGAUCCCGGGGAAACUCACUGCCUUCGUGGGGUAUUGUCAUCUCGGUUUCAUAGAUGAGAGAACUGAGGCAUGCGGAGAUCGGGCAACUUGCCUGUGUUGUCAGAGCCAGUGAGUGGCAGAGCAAGGGCUCCACCCAGACACCAUUCACAGAGCCCAUGCUUCUCAGCCAGGAAACCGCCACCAUGCAGGAAAUGAGCUGGACUCCGCAGAGAGCCGCAGGAGAAGGCCAGCACGUGCCAGAAUUUCCACAUUUCCUGCUGCUUUCCCAACGCCUCGAUUUUGGUCAGGAGGCAGUUGGAUUUCCAAGAGACGGCCCUCACGUCAUUUCGGACAGCAUGGAAGGCUGAGAAGCGCAGACUUUGAGCUGAGCACCUGGCCUCACAAAACAACCAUUGGGCUUCUGUUACCGCAAAGGAAGAGAGAAGAGAAUAUCGGGCAGGCAGCUCUCUGUUUCUGCCACAUUCUCCAGAAAUUCUGCUCUCCUCUGGCUGGCGCUGCCAGGAAUACGAGCCUCGCUAUAGCC